rnacentral:rRNA from 1 species
AGCAGCCGCGGUAAUUCCAGCUCCAAUAGCGUAUAUUAAAGUUGUUGCAGUUAAAAAGCUCGUAGUUGAAUUUCGAGACCGGUUUAUUGGUCGUGCUUUUGUACGUACUGGUAUUAUUGGUUUCUCCUUUCUGACGAAUCUUAAUGCCAUUAAUUUGGUGUUUUGGGGAAUCAGGACUGUUACUUUGAAAAAAUUAGAGUGUUUAAAGCAGGCUCACGCUUGAAUACAUUAGCAUGGAAUAACGGAAUAGGACGUUUGAUUCUAUUUUGUUGGUUUCUAGGAUCGACGUAAUGAUUAAUAGGGAUAGUUGGGGGCAUUAGUAUUCAAUUGUCAGAGGUGAAAUUCUUGGAUUUAUUGAAGACUAACUACUGCGAAAGCAUUUGCCAAGGAUGUUUUCAUUAAUCAAGAACGAAAGUUAGGGGAUCGAAGACGAUCAGAUACCGUCGUAGUCUUAACCAUAAACUAUGCCGACUAGGGAUCGGAUGAUGUUAAUUUUUAAU